UCGCGGCCUAUCAGCUUGUUGGUGGGGUAAUGGCCUACCUAGGCGACGACGGGUAACCGGCCUGAGAGGGCGACCGGUCACACUGGGACUGAGACACGGCCCAGACUCCUACGGGAGGCAGCAGUGGGGAAUAUUGCGCAAUGGGCGAAAGCCUGACGCAGCAACGCCGCGUGAGGGAUGAAGUACGUCGAGAUGUAAACCUCUUUCAGCAGGGACGAAGCGAAAGUGACGGUACCUGCAGAAGAAGCGCCGGCUAACUACGUGCCAGCAGCCGCGGUAAUACGUAGGGCGCAAGCGUUGUCCGGAUUUAUUGGGCGUAAAGGGCUCGUAGGCGGUCUGUCACGUCGGAUGUGAAAACUCAGUGCUUAACACUGGGCCUGCAUUCGAUACGGGCAGACUAGAGUUCGGUAGGGGAGACUGGAACUCCUGGUGUAGCGGUGGAAUGCGCAGAUAUCAGGAAGAACACCGAUGGCGAAGGCAGGUCUCUGGGCCGAUACUGACGCUGAGGAGCGAAAGCGUGGGGAGCGAACAGGAUUAGAUACCCUGGUAGUCCACGCCGUAAACGGUGGGCACUAGGUGUGGGAAACUAUCUACGUUUUCCGCGCCGCAGCUAACGCAUUAAGUGCCCCGCCUGGGGAGUACGG
rnacentral:rRNA from 1 species